rnacentral:lncRNA from 1 species
GAGACCCCACCAUUGUAUUGUACCAAACGACAAAGUAUUGCUAAUCUAUGGGGUAUAGGCAAAGACAGUAAGGAUUCCGAAAAAUAUACUAUGAAUCAUAUUUUCUUGUACACAAAAUGAAAUUAAUCUUUGUUCAUAUAUAUGACAUGAAACACUAUUAGUCUUCACCCCCAACUGGGGUAAUAGUUGUAGCGUAUAGUCUACAAGUUAUAACAUACAUAAAAUUCAAGAAAGAUUCAGAAUUAUUUAGUCUUUAGGCUUAAGUUAUCGACAAUACUUAAAGUUGUCACGAAAAUUCACUUAGAUCCCUCAACUAAGGCUUGUACCAAUCAAGUCCCUAACCCAUUCGAAUUUUGAUCCAAUCAGACCCUUUUUUGCCAAUCAGGUAAAAAGAUAAAAUGCGUGUGAUGCACUUUCGAUGACAUGGCAAUUUAACGAAUUAAAUAGUGACACAUGUCGUGUGGGUCCAAAAUAAAUAUUUUAAAAUAUAUUAUAGCAACAUAAAAAAAAGUUAUUUUAAAAUUAAUUAAAAAUGACAAUCUUUUGUCUUCUUUGCCGUCUUCUUCACCUCAAAUGAAAUAGGAUUCACCUCAAAAUAACGUUGCUCUGCAAUGCUUAAAUGUAUCUCCAAGUGAAAGACCUGAUGCCAAAUGAUUACUAGAGACAUUGCUAACUUUGGGCCAAGAGUUUGAAAUUUAAUCACACAUUGUACCAGUGAAUUUCUACUUCAUGCAAUGUCUCAAACUUCUUUGCCCGUCUUCUUCCCAAAUUCUUCACUUCCGAACAUCAAACUCAAAAAUAAAAUCUGUUGGCGUCGUUAUUUUGGCCGGAAAAGCACCAAUUAAACUUGUUGGAAAAUAAUAAAAAAUAUCACUAUCAAUUGUGAAAAUAAAUGAACUGCAACAAUAAUAAUAUUUCUUUUUUAAUAGUAACACAAGUUACAAUAAUAAUAACAACAAGAACAAUAAUAAUAAUAAUAAUAAUAAUAAUGAUGAUGAUAAUGAUGAUGAUGAUGAUGAUGAUAAUAAUAAUAAUAAUAAUAGUAUUUUAAGUAAUAUAUAAAAUACUUGAAUCGUGCUAGGCACUGAAACUAUUUCCGCAAUAUAAAAUGUUUUUUCUAAUUAGAGGAUAUCCGAAUUAUAUGAAUUUUUCUUAAUUAAUCAGAGGAUAAAGAAAUCAACAAAAUUAGUUAUAAACCAACAAGUUUUAACUAAAAAUAAAAUAAAAUGAUAAGUUUAUUAUUUGAUAAAAGCAAAGUAAAGAGAAAAUGGGCAAAGAAGGGAAGAGAAAUACACAUAUGUUGGUGUAUUCAUUGCAUCAGAUGGUUUGGCUAUUUAUAGCCUUCUUGUGGCCGUGGACAAGAAAAUUAUCAAUGAAAAUAUGACAUGUGAUACUUGGCCAACAGGUUCAUAAUACUUGGCCAUCAUUUAAUUAACAUGUGUUAAUGAAACCCACGACAAAUAAAUUUUAUUUUGUCCCAAAUCAAAUUAAAUAUUUAUAAUUAUAUUAAAAUAUUUAUUUUAUUUUAUUUUAAAAUAUCUCACAAUCCCCCAAACUUAUUGAAUUUAUAUGGACAAAAUGCAAUAAAUUUGGUGUCUUUUAGACUAUGAACCAAACUUACACUGAUAAAAUUUAACUUAUAGAAUUAUUGGUGAAAUAUAAUAUUUUUAUGAAUCAAAUAACUCUUAUUGUAAGCCAGACACUUUAUCAAUCACAUUUUGAUCGUAAUUUUGUUGUUCAACGCGGUUUUGCGCCAAUAGACCAUGCACUCGCCUAGUAUUCAUGAGAACUCGAGAGACUAGGCCAAAGUCUCAUAGGAACGGCCUCAUUCCAUUUCUCAUAUAGGUGAAUUCAUCAAGUGUACACUGCUUUAAAUACACCAUCUGUAAGGACUAUGAAUUCAUUAAGAGUUAAUAACUCAUCCCUCAGUUUUAGUAGCAGUUUAAGUACUCUCAAUAAAUGUGCAGUGUCAAUAUCGACUUGUUAUUACCCAUAUGAAUCUACUUCAUGGGAUCUCCAAUCACAUAGGUUGGGUUACCAUCUCUAUUGACAAUCAUAUUGAUCUUAACCCCAUCUCUUUUGAGGUUUGAAGAAUUAAUUUCUUCUCAUAGGUUUAGUCAGUGAAUCGUCCGAAUUCAAUUUUGACUUUACAUAACCAAUGAAAAUUAUUCCAUCUCUCAGCAGUUGCUUAACAACAUUAUGCCUCAAUUUCAUGUGUCUAUUCUUACAAUUGUAAGAUUUAUUAUUUACAAUAGCAAUUACGGCUUGACAAUCACAGUGUAUAUACACGGGAGGCACCAGAUCAUCCUUGAUUAAAAGAAUAUUAGACAACAGAUCAUCUUUUUUCAAAGGGAUAUUAGGUGACAGAUCAUCCUUCUUAGAAGGGCUAUAAGGCAACAGAUCAUCCCUUUUUAAAGGGAUAUUUGCUAAGAAAUUUCUUAGCCAUUCAACCUCAGUACCAGCUAACUCCAGAGCUACAAACUCUGAUUUCAUAGUUGAUCUAGCAAUGAUCGUCUGCCUAGCUGAUCUCCACGAUACUGCACCACUACCUAAUGUGAACACAUAAUCACUAGUGAAUUUAGUCUCAUCUGAAUCAGAGAUUCAAUUUACAUCACAAUAUCCUGCUAAAGUAGAAGGAAAUCCACUAUAUAGAAUACCAUAAUUCAUUUUUAUAUUUUAUUAAUUUCAUUAAUGCAGACCAAUGCUUAUUAUUGAGAUUAUGAGUAUAUCUACUCAGUCUACACACACCAUAAACUAUAUCAGAUUUGAUAAAAUUCAUCAAAUAUAUUAAACUCUCAAUAAUUUGUGCAUAUUAGACUGGGAAACUAGAUCACCAUUAUUCUUUUUCAAUUUAGAGUUAGCAUCAUAAGGAGUGGCUAUAGGAGUUGCCUCCCAACAUUCAAACUUCUUAAGAAUCCUUUCAACAUAAUGUUCUUGUGUUAACAUUAUUCCAUCAUCUCUCCUUAUAACUUUAACUCCCAAUAUCAUAUUAUUUUGUCCAAAUCUUUCAUAUCAAAGGUAGUAGACAAAAAUAAUUUGGUACUUGCACAAUAUUUAAAUUUGUAUCAAAUAUAAGCGUGUCAUCAACAUAUAAGCAAAUUAUCACAUAAUCAUUGUCUACUACUUUAGUAUAAACACAUUUAUCCACUUCAAUAGAAGAAAAUUCAUCUUUUAUUAAAACUUGAUCAAAUCUCUCAUGCCAUUGUUUAGGAGCUUGUUUAAGGCUAUAAAGAGAUUUAAUUAAUUUACAAACUUUAUUUUCUUGUCCAAAAAUUGCACAACCUUUAAGUUGAACCAUAUAAAUUUCUUCUUCUAGAUCACCAUUUAAGAAAGCUGUUUUUUACAUUCAUUUGAUGGAUAAAAAGCUUAUGAAUCGAUGCCAAAAUAAUUAAUAUUCGAAUAGAAGAAAUUCUUGUUACUGGUGCAAAUGUAUCAAAAUAAUCAGUAUUUUAUUUUUAAGUAAAUCCGUUAGCUACUAAACGAGCUUUAUAUUUAUCUAUAGAUCCAUCAUGAUUAAAUUUCUUUUUGAAAAUUCAUUUGCAGCCAAUAGGUUUUGCACCUGGAGGUAAAUCAGUUAAAACUCAUGUAUUAUUUUUCAUGAUAGAAUCAAUUUCAACUUUUAUUACCUCUUUCCAAAAUUUAGCUUCAGAAGAAGAUAUAACUUCAAAAUAAUUUAAUGGUUCAUUAUCGACAAGAAAAGUUUGAAAGUCAUUUCCAUAAGAAAAAUAUUCUUUUCUAGGCCUUUUACUCCUUUUCAGUUCCUCAAUAUUAAAGGUAGAUUCAUUUUCUUUUUCAAUAGGUCUAUGCGAUAUUUUCUCACAAAGUGGAAAAAUAUUUUCAAAGAAUUCAAUAUUCUUUUUCUCAAUAAUAGUAUUACUACCAAGCACAUCAUUUUUCAAAACAAGAAAUAUAUAUGCAACACUAUGUUUAGCAUAUCCGAUAAGCAUGCAAUCAACAGUUUUAGGACUUAUUUUCUCUUUUUAGGUUCGAGCAAAAGAACUUUAGCAACACACCCCAUAUUUUUAAAUAUUUCAAAUUAGGUUUAUAACCUUUCCAAAAUUCAUAAGGAGUUUUACCAAUUCGUUUAUGAGGAAUUCUUUUGCAAGUGACAUGCAGAUAAAAUAGCUUCACCCCAUUAUCAGACGCAUUAAAGCUAAUUAACAUGGAGUUCAUCAUUUCUUUUAAUGUUCUAUUUUUUCUUUCAGUUAUACCAUUAGAUUCAGAUGAAUAAGGUGGAGUUACUUCAUGAAUAAUUUCUUCUUUUUCACAAAGAGCAUUUAAAGAUACAUAUUUUCCACCUCUAUCAGGUCUAAUUCUCUUUAUCUUUCUACUAAGUUGAUUUUCAACUUCAGAUUUAUAAGACAUAAAAGCAUCAAAUGCGUCAUCUUUAUUUGUAAGUAAAUACAGCUUGAUAAAUCUAGAGAAAUCAUCAAUAAAAGUCACAUAAUAUCUUUUUGCACCUCUAAUCAUAGUUUGUUUUAAAUCACCCAAAUCAGUGUGAAUCCAAGAUAAUAAUUCAGUUUCUCUAUUAACUGAAAAAUAUGACUUUUAGUUAUUUUAGCUUCAACACAUAUUUCACAUUUAUCAUAAUUAUUUGAGUUAAACCAGAUAUCAAACCAAGUGAUUGCAUAUUCUUUAUAUAAGAGAAAUUAACAUGUUCUAAUCUAGCAUGCCAUAAAGAAAUAGACUCAGUCAAAUACGUAGAACUAGAAAUACCAUUAUGAGUAUUAAGCAUAUAUAAUCCAUGAUUACAACGUCCAUUUCCAAUAAGAAUAUUAUUUUUAGUUAAUAUGACCUCAUUGUUUUCAAAUGUAACUUUCAUUCCAACUUUUUCUAAUAGUGCCACAGAAAUCAAAUUAAUUCUGAUAUUAGGAUCAUGUAACACAUUACUCAAUGCCAAAGUUUUACUAGAUGUGAGUUUGAAAAGAACUUAGCCUUUUUAAAGAAUUUGAAUAGUUCUCGAGGUUUCAAGAUAAAUAAUUUCUUCUUCUUUCUCAACCUGGAUGUAUGAUACAAAAUCAUUUUUAUUUAUACAAAUGUGCCUAGUAGCACCAGAGUCUACCGCCCAGUUUCUCACGUUGGUCUCAAUAUUCAUUUCUAAAAUGACCGGAAUGAUGAUAUCAUCCGUUUUAAUCAAAUUUAUUUUUAACUUAGCGGGAUUGUCAUUUCUUUCACAUAUUCUCUUGCAUUGAGAUACAUCUUCUAUGAAGAUUUUAUUAUUAGCAUUAGAUGUAUAACCAAAUUUAUUUUCAUACCUGUAUUCUGCAGUACCAUAAUUUUCUGACAAACUAUCUGGAAUCAAAGCAACCAGAGCAACAUCAAUAUCAGUAUUAUCAAAGGUCUUAGGAAUAAUAUUAUAUGUCAUAGUUUCUUAGAUUAUUGGGAAACAAUAAAAAAAUAUCACUAUCAAUUGUAAAAUAAAUGAACUGCAACAAUAAUAAUAUUAUUUCUUUUUUAAUACUAUCACAAGUUACAAUAAUAAUAACAAGAAGAACAAUAAUAAUAAUAAUAAUA